GCUCUGGUGGUCAAGAGGUUAGAGCAUCUGCCUUGGAUGCGGGAGGUCGUGGGUUCGAUCCCCAGUCAAAUCA